UCAAAUCUCUGUGUAUGAUUGG
rnacentral:miRNA from 1 species